CCUACGGGUGGCAGCAGUGAGGAAUAUUGGACAAUGGGCGGAAGCCUGAACCAGCCAAGUAGCGUGCGGGAUGAAGGCCCUACGGGUCGUAAACCGCUUUUGCACGGGGAUAACACCCUCCACGUGUGGAGGUCUGCAGGUACCGUGCGAAUAAGGGCCGGCUAAUUCCGUGCCAGCAGCCGAGGUAAUACGGACGGCCCGAGCGUUAUCCGGAUUGAUUGGGCUUCAAGGGAGCGUCGGCGGGCGUUCAAGUCCGCGGGAAACUCGCGCGGCUCAACCGCGCCCCGCCGUUGAAACUGGACGCCUUGAGUUCACAACAGGCAGGCGCAUUUCGUGGUGUAGCGGUGCAAUGCAU
rnacentral:rRNA from 1 species